AUGGGGUUUAUUAUAGGGGAUAUGGGGUUAUUAUGGGAUGGGUUAUUAUGGGAUGGGGAUGUGGCCCCCCCCUGCCCCCCACAGCACCCAUGGGUGCUGCCCUGCGCCGCAUGCAGGGGGCGCUGCGGCGUCGCCAUGCCCCAGGCUCUGUCCCAUGGGGGGUCCUGGCCGAGAGCUCCAGGAUCUGGCGCACGCUGGGACCCUCCUUUGUGGACGGGCUGGCGGCCGCCGGUUGGGAGACGCAGCGACCCCUGCUGGCCCCCGACCAAUGGGAGCUCGAGUGGGCGGGGCCAGGGGGCGGGGCCUCGAAGGAGGAGCCCCGCCCCCUGUGACCGGAUCCGCCCCCAAGGAGCCCCAAAAUGGGCUGAAAACAGCGGAUUUUAGCAACGAAGGGGCCAAAAAUCCCCAAUUUUGGGUUAUUACUAAAAAUGAGCAAUUUUCUAACCGUGUUUUUGGUCAUUUUGGGGCAGUUUGGGUUGAUUUGGAGGUGGUUUAGGGGCUUCUUUUUG
ensembl:lncRNA